GGAAAAAAUACAGGAGAUGUCUUUGGUUGAUUAUGCAUCCUCUGACGAAGAAGAAGAGCUUCACGAACAACCCCAAGAAAACAAACAACUCAGCAAAGCGGAAGAACUCACCCCUCGUCCCCCUUUGGAUCCAUUACCAACCACAAACGACAAUCGCCAUCUUCCUCAGCCUCAAAACCAGAGGACUAGUUCAUCAUUGAAUAAAGAAGCAUUACACUUGUCAAAUUUAUCGGAGUCCUCUAAACUGAAACUCCCUGAUGCAUCACUUCUAUUAAAUUCACCUACAAUGCCAGGCCAUCUUGGACUCAAUACUGACCAUUCUUCCCGAGUUGCAGCAGCCAUGGCUGAAAAUGCAACAAGGAAGCGGGAUAUAAAUGUAUCAGCAUCCACUUAUCCACGCAGUAAGAUUCCUAAAGGAACUUUGCCUAACAUGAAGAAUGUCCCUGAAACAGGAGGUGGUCUUUUGCUCCCACCUCAACUUACCGGAAGGAGCAAUAUUGUUACAGAAGACAUCAGCAAGCUAUUUCGGAAGAAGACCUCGUCUUAGUUGCACACAGAGUAAGAGAAUGAAGUCACUGUUGACCUAACUGUAGUUUAAUUUCAGUGGAUUCUGUAUCAGAUUUUAGUAAGAAAUUGACAGAAAUGUUGUAAGAUAUUUGGUUAUGUUGAUACUAGGAUGGCUAUCAGCCGUUCUGGUUGUGUUUGAAGUGAUGGACUACUUUUUGUACAGAAUUUCUGCGACCAUACAUUAUUAGUGUGUUGAUUGGUUCUCGAAAUAUGUACUUGCAAGACAUCAUC
rnacentral:misc_RNA from 1 species